rnacentral:rRNA from 1 species
GUUAGAGCUUUGGUUUUAACUUUAGUGGCGAACGGGUGAGUAACGCGUGAGGAACCUGCCUUUCAGUGGGGGACAACAGUUGGAAACGACUGCUAAUACCGCAUGACACUUUUGGGGGACAUCCCUUAAAAGUCAAAGCUUUAUGUGCUGAAAGAUGGCCUCGCGUCUGAUUAGCUAGUUGGUGAGGUAACGGCUCACCAAGGCGACGAUCAGUAGCCGGUCUGAGAGGAUGAACGGCCACAUUGGGACUGAGAUACGGCCCAGACUCCUACGGGAGGCAGCAGUGGGGAAUAUUGGGCAAUGGGGGAAACCCUGACCCAGCAACGCCGCGUGAAGGAAGAAGGCCUUCGGGUUGUAAACCUCUUUUACCAGGGACGAAGGACGUGACGGUACCUGGAGAAAAAGCAACGGCUAACUACGUGCCAGCAGCCGCGGUAAUACGUAGGUUGCAAGCGUUGUCCGGAUUUACUGGGUGUAAAGGGCGUGUAGGCGGAGAUGCAAGUUGGGAGUGAAAUCCAUGGGCUCAACCCAUGAACUGCUCUCAAAACUGUAUCCCUUGAGUAUCGGAGAGGCAAGCGGAAUUCCUAGUGUAGCGGUGAAAUGCGUAGAUAUUAGGAGGAACACCAGUGGCGAAGGCGGCUUGCUGGACGACAACUGACGCUGAGGCGCGAAAGCGUG